GUAGAUGGUCGGAUGGCUGCUGCCAGUUUUCUGGGAGAGGAAAGUCCGGGCUUCAUUGGAGCAAUGGUGCUGGGUAACCCCCAGCGAGAGCGAUCUUAGGGAAAGUGCCACAGAAAAUAUACCGCCUGGCAACAGGUAAGGGUGAAAAGGUGAGGUAAGAGCUCACCGGGUGGGCAGUGAUGCCCGUCGCAUGGUAAACCCCACCAGAAGCAAGACUAAGUUGAGUAUGAGCGCAAGAACCAUUAUCUGGUGCCUUGCAGGCCGCUCCAAGCAAUCAUACGGGUAAGUCGCUUGAGCGCGUACGGUAACGUCGCGCCUAGAGAAAUAGUCAUCGUAGCAUGUAACGUGCUUACAGAACCCGGCUUACAGACCAUCUACCGCU
rnacentral:RNase_P_RNA from 1 species